rnacentral:rRNA from 1 species
GACGAACCGUGCGAACGUUGUUCGGAAUCACUGGGCUUAAAGGGCUCGUAGGCGGCCAACUAAGUCAGACGUGAAAUCCCUAGGCUCAACCUAGGAACUGCGUCUGAUACUGGAUGGCUUGAAUCCGGGAGAGGGAUGCAGAAUUCCAGGUGUAGCGGUGAAAUGCGUAGAUAUCUGGAGGAAUACCGGUGGCGAAGGCGGCAUCCUGGACCGGCAUUGACGCUGAGGAGCGAAAGCCAGGGGAGCAAACGGG